GCUAACGCAAUGCUCUACCACUGAUGAUGGUAUUUUUUCUCCAAAGAAAUGGUGAAAAGCUCAUGCAGAUUCAGUAUGUGUGUAGUAGAUGAAACCGUGACAUUCUCCAGCCCUUACAACUGUCCUUGCAGCGUUUGAGGAGAAAAUGUCAGAUAGUAAUAGAAAACAAAGAGUCUGUUUCAUUCUCACCUUUAUAGGAUUCCCUUUACCCGGGGUUUAAAAUGACCCAGGUUUAACUAUUUGAAUUGUGAAAAGCCCUUUUAGUAUCUAAUGAAAGUGUUUAAAGACUUUUUUGGGCCCCUGUAGAGUGUCAUCCCAACUGAACUCAAGUCUGAUCUAAAGUGAAUACUGGUUUUGCACAUUUUCUUGCAAUAUUUCACAUAAGUGUCAAGUUCCAGCAGAGCUCGGACAGUCUGGUGUCAGUGGACUCUGAACUGGCGCAGUGUGAGACGGAGGUCAACACUUUACUGAAGAUCAUUUCUGACCUCAGCAGGAAGAUGGACUCCCUACAAAUACCACGAGAGAUGAAAACGCCUGAGAGUCCAGUCCGGGUCAGUGGGAGCGUCCCGCAGCAGGGCUCAAUCCUCACGGUGGUGGACGCUGGCACAGCAUCUGUAGAGUCCAAGACCAAGAACAUCUGCAGGGACUCAGAAGGCAUGUGGUGUUUAUACAAUGCCUCAUCGUCAAUCACAGUAAAUGCUGUGUCAGAACGGACAGCCUGCUAUUUACUGCGCUACUGGUCCUGCCAGACUUUUGUUUCCAAAUGCAAAGCUACUUAUUAAACUUUAAAAUAAUUUUCUCUGGGCACUUUAUGACAUUUACACAUGCAAGCGUUUUUUUUUUUUUUUUCUAAAUUAAGACUCCUGAGAAAUUGUAUAAAUUUUUAUGUUAGGAAGAAAAAUAACACAAAAAAUCAAAAACUUCAGUAAUCCAUGAGUUGGGUUCAUACUGGUGUGCAAACAACUAAAACGUUAUUUUUAUUUAUCAUGACGAUGAUAUUAUUCUUAUUCUUGUUUUUGUUAAUAAUAAAAAUAAUAAUAAUAAUACUUUUGUUUUAAUA
ensembl:lncRNA